UCCAACAUCGAGGUCGCAAUCACUUUUAUCGAUAUGUUCUCUCUAAAAAUAUUACGCUGUUAUCCCUUAAGUAACUUAACCUUUUAAUCACUAUAAAUGGAUCAAAUCAUAUAUCAAUGAAAAAAAAGUUUAACAAAUUUUCUUAUCACCCCAAUAAAAUAUUAUAUAAAGCUUUAAAGGGUCUUCUCGUCCUUUAANAAUAUUUAAGCUUUUUAACUUAAAAAUUAAUUUCUAAAACAUUUAAAAUAAGACAGUUAAUAUUUCAUUCAAUCAUUCAUACCAGCUUCUAAUUAAGAAACUAUUUAUUAUGCUACCUUUGUACAGUCAAAAUA
rnacentral:rRNA from 1 species